CAUGAAGCUGGAAUUGCUAGUAAUCGCGGAUCAGCAAGCCGCGGUGAANACGUUCCCGGGCCUUGUACACACCGCCCGUCACACCAUGAGAGUCGGGAACACCCGAAGUCCGUAGUCUAACCGCAAGGGGGGCGCGGCCGAAGGUGGGUCCGGUAAUUGGGGUGAAGUCGUAACAAGGUAGC
rnacentral:rRNA from 1 species